rnacentral:tRNA from 1 species
GCCUGGAUAGCUCAGUUGGUUAGAGCAUGGUGCUGACAACACCAAGGUUGCAGGUUCGAUCCCUGUAUGGGACA